GGACUGGCUCAGGGGUAGAGCACCUGCCUGGCAUGCAGGAGCUCCCAGGUUCAAUCCCUGGCAUCUCCA